AACGAACGCUGGCGGCAGGCUUAACACAUGCAAGUCGAACGCCCCGCAAGGGGAGUGGCGCACGGGUGAGUAACGCGUGGGAAUAUGCCCUUCGGUUCGGAAUAACACAGGGAAACUUGUGCUAAUACCGGAUACGAUCUACGGAUGAAAGAUUUAUCGCCGAGGGAGUAGCCCGCGUAGGAUUAGCUAGUUGGUGAGGUAAUGGCUCACCAAGGCGACGAUCCUUAGCUGGUCUGAGAGGAUGAUCAGCCACAUUGGGACUGAGACACGGCCCAGACUCCUACGGGAGGCAGCAGUGGGGAAUAUUGGACAAUGGGCGAAAGCCUGAUCCAGCAAUGCCGCGUGAGUGAUGAAGGCCUUAGGGUUGUAAAGCUCUUUACCCGAGAUGAUAAUGACAGUAUCGGGAGAAUAAAGCCCCCGGCUAACUCCGUGCCAGCAGCCGCGGUAAU
rnacentral:rRNA from 1 species